rnacentral:rRNA from 1 species
AAUCAACGCUGGCGGCGUGCCUAACACAUGCAAGUCGAGCGCGAAAGGGGGCAACUCCCAAGUAGAGCGGGCGAACGGGUGAGUAACGCGUAGGGUAAUCUACCUUCGAGUGGGGAAUAACACCGGGAACUGGUGCUAAUACCGCAUUACAUCCUCGAGCCUUCGGGUUUGGGGAUCAAAGCUGGGGACCGCAAGGCCUAGCGCUUGAAGA